CCAGGGAGCCCACCCCAGGAGAAGCAAGGACCGGGAAGGAGGCAGCCCAUCUUCUCCUCCCCUCGAUCAUCUUUUCCAUCCAGAUGCAAGUCGUGGGAGCUGAGAGCUCGGACGAGGGUGAAAUUGCCGCCUUCCCUCCGACCCGAACGCGUGCGCCCCGCCGGCCCCCCGCUGGGUGCACACUCGCACGCACACCCUCGCACCCAUACCCGCACACGCGGGAGCACACGCACAGGUAGUCAGUCACACACCAAGGGCAGCAGCGACGGCGGACGAAACAUGCUCCGGUGGCAUUGCAACCCCCCCCACCCCCGCCAUCCAACCUUGCAAUUCAUUUGCAGUCAGACCCCAAACCCCACACCUUCCCCGGAGCCCCCCUCCAUAAAAAAGUGCCUUCCCCCCAAAACACACACGCACACAUAACACAAAGUAGGAGAAUGGACCGACAGAGAUAUUUUUGGCAAAUGCUCACAUCAGAGGGCGUCCUGUUCCGCAGCUCUAAAUAAAUCCGUUUGUCCAUCUCCAUCUCUCGCGCUCUCUCUUUCUGCAGAGGAUCCUGCGCCAGCGGAAUUCAAUCAAUAAACCCCGAACCCACGGCCGCGCGUUUUAGGACUUUGAAGGCUCAACCAGCUCCGCUCGGUUCUCGAGCCCCC
rnacentral:lncRNA from 1 species